rnacentral:lncRNA from 1 species
UGUUUUCUCCCUUGUUCCACCUUUGGCAGUGUGGCUUAUGGUCUUGGCUUCCUUGUCUUUUUGUAAGUUACCAAAGUCCACCUUUAUUCGUUGUCGGUAGGUGCAUCUUGGUCAUUUGCCCCCAGCGAUGGUUAUGCAGAAGGUGUCGUGCAACUUGACCAUGGACGGGAAUGGGCAUGCAUCACUUGGAGAAGCACAGGAUCAAAUGAUCCAAACACAAUCGUAGUAGUGUGAGUUGUGGUCAUGUCUUCAAGGUCAAGUUCAAUUUGCCCUUAUUGUGCCAACUUCAUGAUAAGCUCCUUAAGGACAAAGCAUUUGCCAAUCGAAUGACUCAUGAUACGAUGGUAUUUGCAGUAC